rnacentral:rRNA from 1 species
AUUGAACGCUGGCGGCAUGCCUUACACAUGCAAGUCGAACGGCAGCACGGGAGCAAUCCUGGUGGCGAGUGGCGAACGGGUGAGUAAUAUAUCGGAACGUGCCCAGUCGUGGGGAUAACGUAGCGAAGCUACGCUAAUACCGCAUACGAUCUAUGGAUGAAAGACGGGGGAGUCGCAAGACCUCGCGCGAUUGGAGCGGCCGAUAUCAGAUUAGGUAGUUGGUGAGGUAAAGGGACUCACCAAGCCGACGAUCUGUAGCUGGUCUGAGAGGACGACCAGCCACACUGGGACUGAGACACGGCCCA